GAUGAACGCUGGCGGCGUGCUUAACACAUGCAAGUCGAACGGGGAACCUUUUAUUGAAGCUUCGGCAGAUAUAGCUGGUUUCUAGUGGCGGACGGGUGAGUAACGCGUGGGUAACCUGCCUUGUACAGGGGGAUAACAGUCAGAAAUGACUGCUAAUACCGCAUAAGCGCACAGGACCGCAUGGUCCGGUGUGAAAAACUCCGGUGGUAUAAGAUGGACCCGCGUUGGAUUAGCUUGUUGGUGGGGUAACGGCCCACCAAGGCGACGAUCCAUAGCCGGCCUGAGAGGGUGAACGGCCACAUUGGGACUGAGACACGGCCCAGACUCCUACGGGAGGCAGCAGUGGGGAAUAUUGCACAAUGGGGGAAACCCUGAUGCAGCGACGCCGCGUGAAGGAAGAAGUAUCUCGGUAUGUAAACUUCUAUCAGCAGGGAAGAAAAUGACGGUACCUGACUAAGAAGCCCCGGCUAACU
rnacentral:rRNA from 1 species